rnacentral:rRNA from 1 species
AGCCUAUACAGGUGUUGCAUGGCUGUCGUCAGCUCGUGUCGUGAGAUGUUCGGUUAAGUCCGCUAACGAGCGCAACCCUCGUCGUAUGUUAUAUGUGUCAUACGAGACUGCCGGUAAAAAGCCGGAGGAAGGUGAGGAUGAUGUCAAGUCAGCAUGACCUUUAUAUCCAGGGCCUACACACACGCUACAAUGGUCUGUACAAUGGGUAGCCAAGCCGCGAGGCGGAGGCCAAUCCUGAAAAGCAGGCCUCAGUUCAGAUUGCAGUCUGCAACUCGACUGCAUGAAGCCGGAGUUGCUAGUAACCGCAGGUCAGCAAUACUGCGGUGAAUACGUUCCCGGGUCUU